CAGUAGCCGCGGUAAUACGUAGGUCCCGAGCGUUGUCCGGAUUUAUUGGGCGUAAAGGGAGCGCAGGCGGUUUAGUAAGUCUGAAGUUAAAGGCAUUGGCUCAACCAAUGUAUGCUUUGGAAACUGUUAGACUUGAGUGCAGAAGGGGAGAGUGGAAUUCCAUGUGUAGCGGUGAAAUGCGUAGAUAUAUGGAGGAGCACCGGUGGCGAAAGCGGCUCUCUGGUCUGUCACUGACGCUGAGGCUCGAAAGCGUGGGUAGCGAACAGGAUUAGAUACCCCGGUAGUCCCUGUCUCUUAUACA
rnacentral:rRNA from 1 species